CGGCGGCGGCGGUGGCGGCGGCGGUCAGGUGGAAUGCUAUGGAAUAUGAUGAGAAGCUGGCCCGCUUCCGGCAGGCCCACCUCAACCCCUUCAACAAGCAGUUGGGACCGAGACAGCAUGAGCAGCGCCCUGGAGAGGAGGCCCCGGAAGCCACACCUGAAGAGGCCCUGCCGGAGCUGCCCCCUGCAGAGCCGGAGUUCCGCUGCGCUGAGCGUGUGAUGGAUCUCGGCCUGUCUGAGGACCACUUCUCCCGCCCUGUGGGUCUGUUCCUGGCUUCUGAUGUGCAGCAGCUGCAGCAGGCGAUUGAGGCUUGCAAGCAGGUGAUUCUGGAGCUGCCCGAGCAGUCGGAGAAGCAGAAGGAUGCCGUGGUGCGGCUGAUCCACCUCCGGCUGAAGCUCCAGGAGCUGAAGGACCCCAACGAGGAUGAGCCAAACAUCAGGGUGCUCCUGGAGCACCGCUUCUACAAAGAGAAGAGCAAGAGUGUCAAGCAGACCUGUGACAAGUGCAACACCAUCAUCUGGGGGCUCAUUCAGACCUGGUACACCUGCACAGGGUGUUAUUACCGCUGUCAUAGCAAGUGCUUGAACCUCAUUUCCAAGCCCUGUGUGAGCUCCAAAGUCAGCCACCAAGCCGAAUACGAACUGAACAUCUGCCCUGAGACCGGGCUGGACAGCCAGGAUUACCGCUGUGCCGAGUGCCGGGUGCCCAUCUCUCUGCGGGGUGUGCCCAGCGAGGCCAGGCAGUGUGACUACACUGGCCAGUACUACUGCAGCCACUGCCACUGGAACGACCUGGCCAUCAUCCCCGCACGCGUGGUGCACAACUGGGACUUUGAGCCUCGAAAGGUAUCCCGCGGCAGCAUGCGCUACCUGGCGCUGAUGGUGUCCCGGCCCGUGCUCAGGCUCCGUGAGAUCAACCCUCUGCUGUUCAACUACGUGGAGGAGCUGGUGGAGAUUCGCAAGCUGCGCCAGGACAUCUUGCUCAUGAAGCCGUACUUCCUCACCUGCAGGGAGGCCAUGGAGGCACGUCUGCUGCUGCAGCUCCAGGACCGGCAGCAUUUUGUGGAGAACGACGAGAUGUACUCUGUCCAGGACCUCCUGGAUGUGCACGCUGGCCGCCUGGGCUGCUCGCUCACCGAGAUCCACACACUGUUCGCCAAGCACAUCAAGCUGGACUGUGAGCGGUGCCAGGCCAAGGGCUUUGUGUGUGAGCUCUGUAGAGAGGGCGACGUGCUGUUCCCGUUCGACAGCCACACGUCUGUGUGCACUGACUGCUCCGCCGUCUUCCACAGGUGGGUGUGCUGGGGCCCUGCACUUGGGGGUGGGGCUCUGCCCUGUCCUCCAGGAGCCACCCCUGGCCUCAGGUACGCAGGAUGCCAUGGGAGAUGGCACUAGUGCCCUAGAGAGACGGAGAUGGAUCUUUGCUGACCCUGAGAUGCUAAGUCAGACCGUGAUGCCUGUGACUGAAUGAGAAGCUCCCUCAGGACAGCACCUGGGGGCUGGGGGGCUGCUCCUUCCCAGGCCCGUCCUGGACCAGCCCCGGCAGCCCCAGCUUCGCCCCUGACGUGUUCACAGCCUCCCAGCAGCUUCCUCUCACCACUAGGAUUGAAAUCACUGUUUGAGGCCACUAGAGCCACAGGGAAAAUUAUUUAUGUUCAAACAACUUUGUAAGUACUUAUGUCCUAAAGAUUUAGUGGCUGUUUGGAAAACUAAUAUACACAAAUUAGAAGAAAAAUAUUUUAAUUUCAUGCUUCAGUAAGUGUGAUGACUUACUAUGAUGUGUAUGCAGGUUUUGGGCUCCACAUGUCUGCCAGACGUGGAAUCAGGUGGAACACUCCCCUCCCUGCCAGUUUCUGUUCCCUGAUUUUUGCCUGGAAUUUGCUAUUUUCCGUAGUAACUGCUGAAACCCCGGCUCUGCAGCGCUAUGGUGUCACACAGAGGAGACUGUUGCAGAGCCUCGGGUGGAGACUGAACUCCGUCAGCUGGUAGUGUGCUCGAGGUCUCACAGAUGCCAGUCACUGCCAUGUUCUGUUUAAAAGUUUGAACUCAGCUGCAGUGCCCCAGGACACAGUUUAGGAGCCAAGGCAGAUGCCAGGCACCCUGGAAUAGGAACGGGGGAUCGUGAGGAAGGGCUCUGAGGCUGGUGUGGCCACCUAGCUCAGCCCCUCAGCUGUGUGAACUGGGCCUGUGUGGUCGCCAACAGCGGUAACAUGACGAGCCGGAGGGCCACCUCUGCACGCUGGGUAGGCGCUCUGCACACGACCACAGUCACUCACCUCGUGCAGAGCCUGAUUCUGGUCUUUGGUAAUGGCUGUAGAGGGGAUGAUGAGAGCUGACCUAGAGCGCGUGUGGGGAGUCAGUGCUGGUGUUUCCUGUGCCAAGAGCCCCAACCUGUUCUUGCCUCCAGGGACUGCUACUACGACAACUCUACCACGUGCCCCAAGUGUGCCCGGCUCAGCCUGAGGAAGCAGUCGCUCUUCCAGGAGCCAGGUGCUGAUGUGGAGGCCUAGGGCUGAGGAGGAGUGCCGGGCACCCGCCUGGGCCACCAGGACCCACCUCGACAGCGUCAAGUUGUUCCUUCUGCUCUGGAGACCCCUGGGGUGCGGCCCCAGGACCCCUUCGCCCCUGUGGGGCCGGAGUGGGUGGGCAUUAUCAAGGACUGUGGUCUCCCACGUGCGUGCGGGGACUCGGGGCGGCCACGCCUGGCUGCAUUCCUGUGAGGGGUCCUUACGUGGCCCCCAGCCUUCCCCAGUGCGGGACUCCCUGGGCAGGGAGAUGGGGGACAUCUCACCUCCCCCGUGGUAGAGAGCCCUCCACACCCCUGGGCCAGGGCAUCUGGGCCCUAGAGAUUUCGCAGCUCCCAUCCUGGCCACCCUGGAACCUCGUCAGGCCAAGACCCCAAGAGGGCUUCUGAGGAGACGUGAGGAUGGACCACCCAGCCCAGGGCCGAGUUUCCCACGCAGUGGGUUUCCACUCUGCCUGGAGGCUCCGUCCUUCCCAGCCACGUACCUUCUUGGGGGCUUCUGGUUGUCCCCAGCUGGGGCUGUUCACAGUUGUCACCUGUAGACCUGCCUCUACCCGGGGCCUGAAGGUCUAAGGCCUCACUGCAUGGUCAGCCCAGUGGGUCACCUGUUGUUUCUGUACAACAGUAGGCGAGCGGGCCAUGGAGCUUUUCCCUGCUGGGUGCUCCUGCCUUGGCCCAGCCCACCUUUGCUGGUGCUCUAAGCUAGGAGGCCGUGGGUCUGCCUGAGGUGGAUGUCCUGGCCCCCAGGUGUGGAGCAGGGACUGCGCCUGCAGGAAGUUCCAGGUUAGACAGUGGGACCUUACAGUGGUUCCUCGUGGCAUUUCUUGGAACCAAAUCUGCCUGGAGGAGCUGUGUCCUGCUGCCUGUGAUGAGCUCUGGGUAGCUUGGAAACGACUGGCCAGUGGCCUUUUCCUGGGGGCCUGAGGUCAAGAGCUGAGAAUAUUUGCUCAGCUGAGCCCAUUCAGGAAGAUCAGAGGAGGGGGGUGUGGGAGGCCCCUCACGCCGCAGGACAGAGGCCCCUGGACAGCAGAGGAGGCCUGCAGCCCUGGGUGUGGGACACUUGGCUUUGCUGUGUGCACUUUACAGACCCUGUGGUCCAUGAGGGGCCUUGGGACAGGACAUUUUGGGACGUGGCUUCCCAGGCUUCUGCCCUGGGAAGUAGGGGUGCUCCUGUCUGUCGUUUUCGGGGAGUGGAGGGUGAGGGGUUACAUGGGUCCCACACCCUGGGCUGUGCUUGGCUGUUGGUGCACAUGGUGGGCAGAGGACACAGAAUAUCACUGCUUGGUAGGUGUCCCCUUUGACCAGGAAGCCCAAGAGGAGCCACCUUAGCCAGCAGAAAGGCCGCCCAGCUCCAGGGCGGAUUCAGUGAGCCGCCUCUGUCCCCUCCGCCAUCAGGAAGGGGAUGGUGUCCUCUCCCCACUGUGGUGGUUUUAAGGCAAGGUUCUUAUUGUCUGCCCUGCCUCGGUUUCCCCAUCUGGAAAAUGGGGGCAGGGGUACUGACCUACCUCAGGGGGAACGGUGAGCAGGGAACAUGCUGGAGUCCGUUAGAGAGUGUGAUGUGAGGUUGGGUUCCUGUCUGGCAUCCCCUUCCUCUUUGGGGCUGAGGACGGAGUGAAAGGCCAGAUGCUGUUUCCCGACACCCCUCGGUCUGCACACGCCUAACGACUGCGUCACGUUUCUGUCAUAUGGAUAUCAGCCAUGCCGAAAUACGUGUACUCAGCAUCACAUUAUUCAGCAUCACAUUAUUCCAGUUACAGAUCACUGUGUCCACAGAAAAACUGCUGGCGUUUGCUGGACAAAGGGUUGGGCCUUUUUUUUUUUAAAAACCUUCCACCCAGCAUCUCCCCACCUGCCCGUUGUUCUGGGUGAUACAGUCUCUAAACAGAAUCACGUGUGGGUGUUUCUGAGUCCACCGCAGGAAGAGCCCAGCAAGGACCCAGCUUGCACCGCCAGCACCUCGCAAGGCCACAGCGCCGGACCCAGCUGGCCUGUAACAAUGCUGCUGUCACUCUCUCAUUAAAUGUAUGUCCUGUA